rnacentral:snoRNA from 2 species
AGCACAGUUCGAAGGCCGUCAUUCUUUGUAUAACAUGUAGAAUGCAAUCGGUUCAAAAUCUCUGCUAGA